CGGAGUUGUUUGAUAUAAAGUUGAAUUGUUUGAUAUAAAGUUAUGUAGGUCGUGAUAACCUGGAAUUAUUAACCAUUUUCCAUGUUCAAUGAGGACUAAGCAUGAUGACGAUGCUUGGAUUUUAAUGAUCGGGUUUCCAAUUUCGGGAGCAAGAUGUGGAAAACCAAAGAAAAUUGUGAAGGUUUGUUAGGAUGGAUCAUUAUCUUCCAACUGUUUGAUAUAAUGUUCGAUUGUUCUGUGCAAAAGAGGUACGAGAUAUGCUCCUAGAAAAAGUUGGAGAUUUGAAGUGGUAGAUGUCACAGACGCAAAUAUGAAAGGAUUAAAGCAAGUGCUGCAAUAUCCAGUGGUGAAUGUCAACGGAAAACUGAAAUUUAAGAGUAAAGUUCAUAGAGUGCAGAUCUACUUCAUUCUGUGAUGGAUAAUAAUAAAAAUCUUAAUGGCUUUUGUAUCUAAUAACUCAUGCGCGAAAGAAGCAGCUUUGAGCAAAUCCAAAGUUUUCAAGUUAGAGCAUAGGCUGGUUCUACCCCACCAAAAGCAUUGUUAAUGGUUUAAGUGGGCUGCAAACUUGGAGCCUCUUGUCAAGACGAGUGCAUAUGAGAGAGGAUCGUAUAUAUGCUUUGAUCCAAACACAUGGGAAAUUAUACGCAAGGGUAAUAUUGUUGUCUACUAUGAUAUGUUGGAAAAAGACAAUUUAUUCAUCAACAUUGACAAAAGUUCCUUUGGCAGCUCAUUAGUUGUGGCAGUCAGGUGUCAUGUUUAUGGUUAGUUUCGUGUUGUCUAAGCAGCUGUAAUAUCAUAUUACAAGUCUUGGAAGUUAAUAGUUAAAUACAAGUCUUGCUUGAGACCAGAUUGUAGAUGUAAAUGAUGUAGCAAUGAGGUCUUCUAAUGUGAUGUAAUAUUGUAGAUGGUUUAUCCAGCUUAGUUAACAAGAGGUGAUAUUGAACUGUUUAUUUUAAUCUUUAUAAAAUUUAUU